CCUACGCGUGGCAGCAGUGGGGAAUAUUGCACAAUGGGCGCAAGCCUGAUGCAGCCAUGCCGCGUGUGUGAAGAAGGCCUUCGGGUUGUAAAGCACUUUCAGCGGGGAGGAAGGCGGUGAGGUUAAUAACCUCAUCGAUUGACGUUACCCGCAGAGGAAGCACCGGCUAACUCCGUGCCAGCAGCCGCGGUAAUACGGAGGGUGCAAGCGUUAAUCGGAAUUACUGGGCGUAAAGCGCACGCAGGCGGUCUGUCAAGUCGGAUGUGAAAUCCCCGGGCUCAACCUGGGAACUGCAUUCGAAACUGGCAGGCUAGAGUCUUGUAGAGGGGGGUAGAAUUCCAGGUGUAGCGGUGAAAUGCGUAGAGAUCUGGAGGAAUACCGGUGGCGAAGGCGGCCCCCUGGACAAAGACUGACGCUCAGGUGCGAAAGCGUGGGGAGCAAACAGGAUUAGAUACCCCGGUAGUC
rnacentral:rRNA from 1 species